AACCCAUGAUGAGGGCAUCUUCAAAGAAGAUCCUUAAAUCUCUCCCAUGCAUCAUACACUGUCUCAAGUUCAAAUUGAGCAAAAGAAGAGAUGUCAUUCCUCAAUUU
rfam:Gossypium raimondii chromosome 11, whole genome shotgun sequence.